AUACAGAGGGUGCGAGCGUUGUUCGGAAUUAUUGGGCGUAAAGCGCGAGUAGGCGGUCUCGUCAGUCGUCUGUGAAAGCCCCCGGCUCAACCGGGGAAGUGCGGGCGAAACUGCGGGACUUGAGUGCUGGAGAGGGUCGCGGAAUUCCCGGUGUAGAGGUGAAAUUCGUAGAUAUCGGGAGGAACACCAGAGGCGAAGGCGGCGACCUGGACAGACACUGACGCUGAGAAGCGAAAGCGUGGGGAGCAAACAGGAUUAGAUACCCUGGUAGUCCACGCCGUAAACGAUGGGUACCAGCUGUGGCGGGAGUUGACCCCUGCCGUGGCGCAGCCAACGCACUAAGUACCCCGCCUGGGAAGUACGGCCGCAAGGCUAAA
rnacentral:rRNA from 1 species